GGGGCUGAUUCUGGAUUCGACGGGAUUUGCGAAACCCAAGGUGCAUGCCGAGGGGCGGUUGGCCUCGUAAAAAGCCGCAAAAAAUAGUCGCAAACGACGAAAACUACGCUUUAGCAGCUUAAUAACCUGCUUAGAGCCCUCUCUCCCUAGCCUCCGCUCUUAGGACGGGGAUCAAGAGAGGUCAAACCCAAAAGAGAUCGCGUGGAAGCCCUGCCUGGGGUUGAAGCGUUAAAACUUAAUCAGGCUAGUUUGUUAGUGGCGUGUCCGUCCGCAGCUGGCAAGCGAAUGUAAAGACUGACUAAGCAUGUAGUACCGAGGAUGUAGGAAUUUCGGACGCGGGUUCAACUCCCGCCAGCUCCAC
rnacentral:tmRNA from 1 species